GUAGACAUCGAAAUUUCGUAAAUAAAUGUUGACCGGUAAAUCAAAGUGUCAACGCUCAUGUAUUACAUAAAUUUUACACGUAGCGUGUGAUUCAACGAAAAUUGAAAUGAGUUGGAAAAGUCAUCAAAUAGGACACGUGUCAACACCUGGCAGAAACGACUUAUUUCAUCUGGAAUAUUAUAUUCAAAAUUAGGCCUUGGAAAUUUCUAUAAAUACAAGCCUAUUUCAUUCAUUGAAGAAAACCAAAAUCAUUAGGCAAAACUCUUGAAGCUCUGAAGCUCUGAAACUCCGAAGCUCUCAAGCAUCCAGGUUCCCGAAGAAUCAAGAAAGCGUUCUUCGUUCAUCGUUCUUCCAAGAUCAAGCCCGACGGCCCUUGGAUCAACAAUCGUCCACCUUCAAGAUCAAGCCCCGACGGCCCUUGAAGAAAGUGUUCUUCGUUCUUCGUUCUUCCAAGAUCAAGCCCCGACGGCCCUUGGAUCAACCAUCCACCAAUUCAAGAUCAAGCCCCGACGGCCCUUUGAAGAAAGCACCAUCGUUCAUCAUCCGUUCAUCCAAGAUCAAGCCCCAACGGCCCAUUUGGAUCAACAACGUCGACAAAUCCACACAUCCAACCGUUCUUCAAGAUCAAGCCCAAAAGCCCUUGAAGAUCUGUUCAUCACUGUUCUUCAAGAUCAAGCCCAAAAAGCCCUUGGAGAUCCGUUUGUCACUGUUCUUCAAAGAUCAAGCCCAAAAGCCCCUUUGAAGAUCCACUCAAAUCCACCUUCAAAGAUCAAGCCCACGGCCCUUUGAAGAAACUUCCAACAGUUCAUCCAAGAUCAAGCACGGCCCUUGGAUCAACGAAACACCCACCAAUCAACACCUUACGGAGAUCGAAUCAGAGGAUCAAAUAGAAGAGAGAUUGUAACCCAAAAUCAUCAAAUACAUAAUAUUUGUUUGUGCACGUCGUUCUUGUCUCUUUCGUUUCAGGAAUUUUCCGUGUUCACAAAUUGGCACGCCCGGUGGGAUCAUCUCUACCUCUCAUCUCUUUCUCCGUUCAAGGAAUCCAAGCACACCUCAAAGUCAAUGGCAUCAAGCAAGGGACAAGCCGUUCUUGCAACCACUGAGGGAAGGAUCCUAAGCACUUCUGCCGCAAACGGACAAUCCAUUGGCGCCACAACCGCUCCUCAACAUGCCACUUCAAAAUUGGUGCCGCUAAAAGAGCAAGGGGAGCAUCCAAGGUGUGAGUAUGUCAUCAACCUGACCUCGCUGGAGGCACCAAAGCAUGAUGUUGGGGCACACAAGAUGACAUCCCAAAGCAGCCAACGACGUUCUUCAUCAGCAUCCUGGAUGUCUAAAGGAAAGUCACGUCUAUUGGUCGCACAAGUCAUGACUAUCGGCGUUACCUCCGUUGAAGAACAACUGGCUCAGAUGAAUGAAGCAAUCGCAAGGCUAACCCGAACUGUGGAAGAAAAAGACUUGCAAAUCGCUGCACUCGUCAGCCGAUUGGAGCCACAGGACGACGAGAACCCUAACCCAGAAGAUGAGCCUCAGGUGGAAAAACGAUGCGAAGCCCGAGCCAGACCAAGCAGCGGCACUCAUAGGAUCUCUUUCUAUCCAGCAGCUGCAAGAGAUGAUCACCAACACCAUCAAGGCACAGUACGAAGGGAGCUCAAAUACCUCCGGGUUGUACUCAAAGCCGUAUUCAAAGAAGAUCGACGCCCUAAGGAUGCCAAGGGGUUAUCAACCACCAAAGUUCAUGCAGUUUGAUGGAAAAGGAAACCCAAAGCAGCACGUUGCACAUUUCGUCGAAACUUGCAACAACGCGGGGACAGAGGGAGGCUACCUCGCCAAGCAGUUUGUGCGCUCGCUGAAAGGAAAUGCCUUUGAGUGGUACACGGACCUAGAGCCCGAGUCCAUCAACAGCUGGGAGCAAUUAGAGCGGGAAUUCCUCAACCGCUUCUACAGCACCCGCCGCACUGUGAGCAUGCUAGAACUAACGAGCACAAAGCAGUGGAAGGACGAGCCAGUCAUUGACUACAUCAACAGAUGGCGCACUCUAAGCCUCGACUGUAAAGACAGGCUCUCGGAAACCUCUUCAAUCGAGAUGUGCAUCCAAGGCAUGCAAUGGGGUUUGCAAUACAUCCUUCAAGGCAUUAAACCGCGGACCUUCGAGGAAUUGGCCACUCGCGCCCAUGACAUGGAGUUGAGCAUCGCCCAUCAUGGGAAGAAAGAACCGAUCGCCGACUACAAGAACGACAAAGUUCUUGGGACAAAGGUGGAAAAGGUUACAUGGAAACCCACCAAGGAAGCGAUGACGGUCAACACAGCUCCCGUCAAAAUCUCCACACGAGGCAAGGCGAUUCAAGCCGAAGGCUUUCGUGAUCAAGAGAUGCGUAGACGCACUUUGAAGGAGCUUGAGGAGAAAACUUAUCCAUUCCCCGACUCUGAUGUGGUUGCCAUGUUAGAAGACUUGCUGGAAAAGAAGGUGAUCGGCUUGCCUGAGUGCAGACGGCCAGAAGAGAUGAAUCGUACCGACAGUCCAAGAUACUGUAAAUUCCACCGCUUCAUCAGUCAUCCGACAGAAAAGUGCUUCGUGCUGAAAGAUCUCAUCAUGAAGCUGGCUCAGAAAGGAAUCAUCGAGCUAGAUCUUGACGAUGUGGUGAAGUCAAACUAUACCACUUUCACUUCUGGCUCUUCAGACUCAAAGUUUUCACCUCAACCGCUGGGGGCAUCCUCCAAGACAAGCAAAGUUGAAGGAUGGACUCAAGUCACUCCUAAGAAAUUGCACAAGAAGCAUACGUCUCAUCCACAUGUCGGCCAAUCGGAAAGGGGGCAAAGCAGCUCUUGUCAACCUUCAAAGCAACAUGAACGUGUUGAAGAUGAUGAAAUUUCGACACAUAGAUCGUCCAUCCCCAUCACGAUGCGCGAUUUCUUGCCCGAAGACUUCUUCAAUCACGUGGUCAAAGCUCCUUGCUAUGAAAAUUGUGAGGAACGCCUCUCCCGGAUUGCUUGACAAAAUUCACUAAGCUCCUUGUCCGCACGAGCCUAAACUGUAGGACACGAGGCUCCUCGCCUGCACGAGCCUAAACUGCAUGGCACAAUGCUCCUGGUCUGCACGAGCAUAAAAGGGCAACACCAACGCUCAUGGUCUGCACGAGCAUAAAAGGCAACACCAACGCUCCUUGCCUGCACGAGCUGAAACUGCAACACGGCACCAAAUGCUCCUUGUUCGCACGAACCAAGGCUCCUCGCCUGCACAAGCCUAAACUGCACGGCACUAUGCUCCUUGUUCGCACGAGCCUAAACUGCACGAACCAAAGCUCUUUGUCCGCACGAGCCUAAACUGUAGGACACAACACACUCCUUGCCUGCAUGAGUUAAAACUGCAAAACGGCACAAAAAGAAAAUACCAAAAAAUAUGUAUGUAUUUGAACUACGUUACGACUUGAUCUCUUCUUUGGAGGGGUACGUAGGCAGCUCGAAUGUUCAAUUUUUUUUCGAGUUCAGUCACAUCAAAAUCAAAAGAAUAAAUGUUUUAUUAAAGAAGGUCGAUUUCAUUACAAAUUUAUUUUGUUAAGAAAAUUUGCAAUUUUCUUUGUACAAAAUUAAAUUACAAUUUCUUCAAAAAAAAAAAAAAAAGAUUCCUUUUAUAUAUAUAUACAUGUAUAUAUAUAUAUAUAUAUGUAUAUAUAUAUAUAUAUAUGUAUAUAUGACCUCUAUCCAGCCAGCCCAUCAAAAGGAGGUCAUCCAAACCCAAGUGGCAGCGACCAGGCCCACACCUAUGUCCAAAUCCAGCUCCAAGAAGAAGACCCAAGUCCACCAGCAACAAAUCCAGGCCCGAUCCUCUCUUGAUCCAUACACCCCUCAAGCUACAGGGCCCUGUCAUCCUCUUCAAUGCAUCAGAGAUCUGAAUUUACUUCAUUUCCUUCCCCGAUGACUCUUCCACUCCCACCAUCUCCGCCGCCCAGACCUUCGAAUGCCACUCCCAGGGCGUCUCCGAUCUCGCCUUCUCCGCUCGGCUCACCGCCAUCAAUUCGCUCCACCGCGCCGUCACCAAGCUCGCCCUCAAAUGCGACCGCAGAUCCGUCAGCGUCGGCGACGAGGCGCUUGUCCUCAUUUCUGCGAUGCCGUAACCUCACGCGCCUGAAGAUCCGCGCAUACCGUGAGUUGACCGAUGCUGGGAUGACGUCGCUCACCAAAAACUGCAAAAAGUUGAAGAAGUCCCAAGACGACGACGAGGGACGUGACGGUGACGUUUACACCCAGCGGUAGAGUAUCACGGUGCAGCUCGUGCUCUUGGUGGAUGUGCAAUCUAUGUCAAUGAUAAGCCAGGACAUCACAAUUUUGACCUUCUGAGGAAGCUGGUUCUCCCUGAUGGAUCUGUCCUCCGGGCCAAGUUACCUGGCAAGCCUACCCGUGAUUGUCUCUUCGCUGAUCCAGCAAGGGACAGGACCAGCUGGCUCAAAAUAUGGGUGUCAACAAUCUCUCUGGUGUGGUUGGUGUGUUUAAACUGUCAAGGUGCCGGUUGGUGCAAGAUUGAAAAGAAGACGCGCAUUCAUGAUUACUCUCCUGGUACCCUCAGUGGUUCUGUUCGCGCCGCUGAUGUUGAUGCCAUUGCUCAAGUUGCUGGUGCUGAUUGGAAUAGAGAAACAGUAGUAUAUGCUCAUAAGUCAGGCCUACUUGACAUAUUCAAUUCAAGUGCUGCUGUGGAUGAGGGGAAAUUGUCACCCUAUUACUACGAAGAUGCCUCUCUCACUAGGUGCCCCGAUUGCAGGCUCUGCGGUAGAUCAGAUUGAACAAGUGGUGGGCUAUGUUAGUCUAGGCUAUCAUUUCGGCAUGCUUGCCUCAAUCCUUUUUGGGAGACACCACAAAGCCGUACUACAAUCCUCAAAACCCAAGCUUUUCGUAAUGGGGACACAGGGACGGGUUUCACGAGCGUUGAAGCAGUUAAAGAACAAGCUCUAAAGCUCUGCAGCCGGUCUGUUGAAACGCACCUGAUUGAUGGAGCAAGCCACUUCCAAAUGGAAGGCCCUGCUUAUGAUGCACAGAUGGAGCUUGGUUGGUUUACUAUGUGCUUUCGGUGUCAAAUUAAGCUGCUGUCUCAACAAAUACGAGAGAAAGAGAGUCGUUAGAUCAAUCUUUACGGUUAAGUGUCAUCCGAAGCAGGAAUAUAACUGGAUAUUCCAAGUCUCAAGUAUCAUAUGUUCGUCGCUCUCAAAACGUUGAUCUUCGGAAGCAAAUCGGCCGUCUCUGGUCAUUUUGUUGCCAUUUGAACCAUCAACUGCCCAACCUUCAGCCAUUAUCGCCAUCGCCGUCUUCCUCCUCGAGCAGUACCCAAACCGAGUGGAGAUCGUGCAGCUGGACGACUCAAACGGGGAGAUCCAGUCGGACCCCAACCUGUCAUUCGAGCACCCGUACCCGCCAACCAAGACCAUCUUCAUCUCGGCCAUGAAAGCCACCACAACCUCCUCACUUCUUCUCAACUAUCAGUUGACCAUUGUAUGCUCCCCCCAAGUUGGUUCUUCCUCCACGGCUGCAGCAAAUCCAAGCUCUUCCAUGGAUCCAAGCCCUUCCGCGGCCGCCUCGUCGUCUUCCUCCCUCCAUUGAAGAAGCAGCGGCAUCGAGCACCGCCUUAGCCAGCUUCUUGUCCCCCGUCAACGCCUCCCCCGAUCGCAGCAGCAACCAUCCUUGCCGUCUCUGCCGCAACGGCCUCAGCCUUCGCCUUCCUCCUGCGUGCUCCACGAAUCUAUGGCCACCCAGUUAUCGCCGUCUUCCUCAUCGGCUGCGCUGCUGAUCCUGGACACCAACCUCUGCGCCAGAACUGUCAUCAAGGGCACCGACGACGCCAUGGCUGCUCCUUCUGCACUCUUGCUCCGCUCCCUGCAAAUUCCCCAUCCCACCAUCCUAAUUUAUACAGAAAAAAAAAAAAAAAAAGGUGGUGGUGCGUCUGGCACCACGUGAAUAAACAAGGGAUGGUGGAGUCUUUGGUGCUCUGGCACCAUGUGAAAAAAAAAAAAGGAAAUCUGGAUUGAUCUGGCACCAUACCUAAAAAAAUAAAAAAAUUAAAGAAUAAAAAAAGGGAAAGCAAGUAGGAAGGUGGGAUGGUGCGGAUUGCACCAUGUAAAUAUACAUAUACAUGUAUGUGCAUGAUAUGUAUGUAUAUAGCAAACAAAAAAAAAAAAAAAAAAAAAAAAUACAUCGAGAGAAAUAAAGUCCGUUUUUAUUUAUUUCUUUCUGGAAUUUUUUACAUAAAUUUGCAUUGUACAAAAAAAAAAUUAAAAAAAAAAAAAAAUCAAAUCAAAUCAAAUUUACAAGAGGGGAUCUUCAAGGACGAUCAUGUGCCACCUCACCACUCGGCAGAGCUCCAGAAAUGAGAAGCGCUGGAGUUUGAUUGUUUGAAGCCUCGCCACUCUGCGGAACUCCAGGAAGAAGAGGAGCCAAAAGUUGAUCAUUCGGAGCUUCACUAUGCGGUACAGCCCCAGAAGACGAAGGCAAAUGUUGUUGGAACAAACCCACAAACCUCCGAUGAUCAAGUAAAAUCUGACCAUCAGAUUCCUGCAUCUGGUCAAUUUUCCUCUUCAUGUUUGUGGCAUAGUUGUGUGCAAGCUUGUGCAACUGUUUAUUCUCAUGCUUGAGCCCUCUGAUCUCCUGUUUGAGACUCAUCACUUCAGCCGCCAACGAUUCAACUUGACGGGUUCGAGCAAAUAGGCGUUGGGCCAUGUUGGACACAGAACCCGCACACUGCACACUAAGAGCCAGGGACUCCUUAACAGCCAAACUCAUCAGACCGCCUGGAAAGUAGUCUGUUAUCUUUGGGAGUGACAAGGUUCCGGGCCACCACCGCAGCGGUCAUGUCAUUCUUCAUCACCGAAUCCCCAACAGUAAGAGGACCAGUAGGGGAUAUGAAGGAUGGGCGCCAUAUGUUAUCUGGAGAAGACGGGACUACCUCUUCACCAAGGUUCAAAUCAAAACGACGGUCGGAGGGUCCAGACAUUUUCAAAGUGUUGAAGGAAGAAGAGAUCAGACAAAUCAAGAUCUUAGAAGUACAAGAGGGGAGUUUUCACAAGCAAAAAUUCAAGUGUGCUUUGAAACGAACUGCAUGCCUCUAUAAAAAUCAUCACUCGACGGGAUUUCAGAGAUCGAAGAGGCGAGCUCAGAAUUCGAAGAGGCCAUUCAAAAAUCGAAGAGGCAAGCUCAGAAAUCGGAGAAGCAUCUUGCUUUUUCAGACGUGUCGGCACCCGUCACACGCAAACUCAGCUUUGCGGAAAUCACGGGUAAUUUGUCGAAGCGCCAAUCCCAGAUAUCGAAGAGGCGCCAGUCUUUUUCAGCCGCGUCAUCACCUGUCAUAUGCACACUCAACUUUGCGCAAAUCAUGGGCAAUUUGUCGAAGAUUUUCGGUGAAGGAGAAAGCACGUUAAGUUUACUGUUCAAUCACGCGUUAGUUGCCGACACGAGUGAAAGAAUAGUACCUCUACAGGUAUUAAGGGACCUCCUAUAACUGUCCACCUUCACCUUCCAUAGCAAGGCAGACACACAGAGUUUUUCUUCAUCUCCAAAGAUGUUUUCCCAACGAAGCCUCUCGAGUCAUUCAGUGUUCCUUAUUCCUUGGGGUACCUCUGCAAGCCAAUGACUUCAAAGCAAAAGUAUCUCAUAUCACCAGGGUAGAAAGCAAGAGUAUCUCAUAUCAUGUGUUCUCCCUGUCCUUCCCUUUGUCCUUGUUCUUACCUACAAAGACAAGGAUAAAGAAAACAAUAUGCCAGAACCUCCACUCAAACUCGGGUAAGGAACCGACUGCUUGGAGCCCUUCCCUGAUUGCCUACCUAGCACUGCUAUCGAGUACUCGUCUCCCACUGCUGCUGUACUUCCAAAGAAGCUGCCACAUCUGCCCGAGGAAUAGAUAAAGGAUACCUUGAAGCAUGUGGAGACAAGGUGCAGAAGGCACAAGCAGAGAAGAAUGCGGUAUGCACGGUCAACUCAGCAGAAGGAGUCCGAACUGAGGAACUCGAGAAGCUGCCAUAUCUGCCUGAAGAAACAAGCAGAGAAGAAUGCAGCAUGCACAGUCAACUCAGCAGAAAGAGUCUGAGACGAAGAACUCGAGAAGAUGUCGCAUCUGCCUGAGGACGGUGAACUUGUUUUGACCCUCAAAUUCUUGGGUCGACUUACUAGGCGUUGUGGGCUGCGCGUGCCGAUUCACCACCCUUGAAUCGAAUCCUUAAAGAUCAAGUCACCAACUGGAAGAAGAGUUCAUCAAUCUUGAAGAUCAUACCAUUGACCAAACUGCUCAGGUGUGAAUUAGAAAGAUUGAACAAAGAAACAGGUUGUCACAUUUACCUCGUGCCUGCUUGCCAUGUGUUCGAGUCAACCUUCAAGAAUCAAGCCUCAACGGCCCUUGAAGAAGUUUCCAGCCAACUUCAAGAUCAAGCCUCGACUGCCCUUGAUGAAAUCACAAGUCCGAUUCAAGAUCAAGUGUCUACCACUCUUGAAUCAAAACCUAGUUCAAGAAUAAGCUGUGGAAAAAUCAACAAUUGGAGGAAUCCAGAAAAUCCUUCAACCCAGUUCAAGAUCAAAGCUGUGGAAAGUCAACAAGCGCAACAAAACACGUGCCGAUUCACCCACUACCAAAGCCGAAGAUCAUCUACCACAUGAAGCUCCUUGUGGUCCAAUUUCAACCUUCAAGAUCAAGCUUCGACGGCCCCUGAAGAAAUUUCAAACAAAAAGUUCAAGAACAAGCCUCAACGGGCCUUGAAGAAAUCUCGAGCCCAAUUCAAGAUCAAGCCUCAACGGCCCUUGAAACAAUCUCCAGCCCAAUUCAAGAUCGUGCCUCGAUGGCCCGUGGAUCGACAUCUACAGUAAGGGACUUCAAAACGCAUCUCCUACACGUGACAAGCACAUGUACACGACGUGCCUUGAAGUGGGGGCAUUUUGUAGACAUCGAAAUUUCGUAAAUAAAUGUUGACCGGUAAAUCAAAGUGUCAACGCUCAUGUAUUACAUAAAUUUUACACGUAGCGUGUGAUUCAACGAAAAUUGAAAUGAGUUGGAAAAGUCAUCAAAUAGGACACGUGUCAACACCUGGCAGAAACGACUUAUUUCAUCUGGAAUAUUAUAUUUCAAAAUUAGGCCUUGGAAAUUUCUAUAAAUACAAGCCUAUUUCAUUCAUUGAAGAAAACCAAAAUCAUUAGGCAAAACUCUUGAAGCUCUGAAGCUCUGAAACUCCGAAGCUCUCAAGCAUCCAGGUUCCCGAAGAAUCAAGAAAGCGUUCUUCGUUCAUCGUUCUUCCAAGAUCAAGCCCGACGGCCCUUGGAUCAACAAUCGUCCACCUUCAAGAUCAAGCCCCGACGGCCCUUGAAGAAAGUGUUCUUCGUUCUUCGUUCUUCCAAGAUCAAGCCCCGACGGCCCUUGGAUCAACCAUCCACCAAUUCAAGAUCAAGCCCCGACGGCCCUUGAAGAAAGCACCAUCGUUCAUCAUCCGUUCAUCCAAGAUCAAGCCCCAACGGCCAUUUGGAUCAACAACGUCGACAAAUCCACACAUCCAACCGUUCUUCAAGAUCAAGCCCAAAAGCCCUUGAAGAUCUGUUCAUCACUGUUCUUCAAGAUCAAGCCCAAAAAGCCCUUGGAGAUCCGUUUGUCACUUGUUUCUUCAAAGAUCAAGCCCAAAAGCCCCUUUGAAGAUCCACUCAAAUCCACCUUCAAAGAUCAAGCCCACGGCCCUUUGAAGAAACUUCCAACAGUUCAUCCAAGAUCAAGCCUCGACGGCCCUUGGAUCAACGAAACACCCACCAAUCAACACCUUACGGAGAUCGAAUCAGAGGAUCAAAUAGAAGAGAGAUUGUAACCCAAAAUCAUCAAAUACAUAAUAUUUGUUUGUGCACGUCGUUCUUGUCUCUUUCGUUUCAGGAAUUUUCCGUGUUCACAGUAUCCACUAGUGUAAAUAUUUU
rnacentral:lncRNA from 1 species